GAAAUAGCUCAGCUUGGUAGAGCACUUGGUUUGGGACCAAGGGGUCGCAGGUUCAAAUCCUGUUUUCC
rnacentral:tRNA from 1 species